rnacentral:lncRNA from 1 species
GCAGGAGUCUUUAGAACAUCUGUUUUAUGGAGGAUUCUAAGGCUAUAGUGUUCAUCAAGUAGGUACAACAGAAGACUAGGAAUCAACACCAAGUUUUGCACUGCGCUAACUGCCUGAAAUACUUUGUGGCUUCAUGAGAGACAUACUUCUUCAGAAACCAAUCACAGGAAGCAGAGGGAAGAGAGACCAAGCAGCAUCAGAAAGCAGGCAUGGAGUGGCUUUGCCACUGCCAUCUUUAGAAGACAGACCUUGCCUCUCAGAGCAGACUCGGCUCUCUGAGAUCCUUUCCAGACUGAGGGAUUCUCGUCCUGACUUAAUGGAUUAACCUAAGCUCCAGGAUUUAAUCAAGGAAAGGAGGCCAGCAGGAAAAAGACAAUCAGCUCGGCAGGUGAUGGAGCCCAAAGUCAUUUGCAUUAGAGAGGUUUGGUCCAAGCUCUUUCAGGAGGGAGAUGAAAAUGAGGUGCUUUGUUAGUUCAGGAGCGGUCCCCUUCCAACAGCAAGCUUGAAGGAAGCUCCUUUGAGGAUUUAUUCUGUUAAGCCAUCAAUAUUUCGAAUCAUCUGUGCUCAUGGACUAUUGGGAAAACCUUAACUGACCAGAAAGAGGCUGUGGAUAUUGUCUCAGAGCAUCUUGAACCCUUCCGAGAUGACUGGUCUUAACCUUGCCUCCACCCCGCCCCCUGCAGACUCCAGCUUUUAUGAGACAGGGCCGGUCUGUUGCUAGAGGUCAGGCAGCACCAGACUAUAAAGUUUUAGUAAUUUCAGAAUCUCACUAGAGCACCUCCUCCUAAGAUUUUGACCAUGGACACCUGGGUGACCUCUUCAAUUGUGCACUUGGGAGCUUUUUGCCUGUAAUUUAAGCAAACGGAGAAACAAAGGUCCCCUGCUGCAUUGCAAAAAUUGAAAUGGACAAAGAACUGUUGAUUGUAAUUCUUCAACCUGGG